rnacentral:rRNA from 1 species
AGAGUUUGAUCCUGGCUCAGGACGAACGCUGGCGGCGUGCUUAACACAUGCAAGUCGAACGAGGUAGCAAUACCUAGUGGCGGACGGGUGAGUAACGCGUGGGAAUCUGCCUUUAGAUGGGGGAUAACGAGCCGAAAGGUUCGCUAAUACCGCAUAUGCCGCAAGGUGAAAGGAGUAAUCCGUCUAAAGAUGAGCCCGCGUCCGAUUAGCUAGUUGGUGGGGUAAAGGCCUACCAAGGCGACGAUCGGUAGCUGGUCUGAGAGGAUGAUCAGCCACAAUGGGACUGAGACACGGCCCAUACUCCUACGGGAGGCAGCAGUGGGGAAUUUUACGCAAUGGGGGAAACCCUGACGUAGCGACACCGCGUGAGCGAAGAAGCCCCUUGGGGUGUAAAGCUCUGUCAGCUGGAACGAAACAAAUGACGGUACCAGCAGAGGAAGCAUCGGCUAACUACGUGCCAGCAGCCGCGGUAAGACGUAGGAUGCGAGCGUUGUCCGGAUUUAUUGGGCGUAAAGAGUUCGUAGGUGGUUUGUUAAGUUUGAUGUUAAAGAUCGGGGCUCAACCUCGGGACAGCAUUGAGUACUGGCAGACUUGAGUAUGGUAGAGGCUAGUGGAAUUCCCAGUGUAGCGGUGAAAUGCGUAGA